UAUUAUUUUAUCUGAAUAUUUAUUAAGCUUGAGUAGUAAUAGUUAUGGUCUUGAAACUCAAAGAAUUUGGCGGUAUUUUAGUCUUUUCAGAGGGAUCUGUCCUAUAAUUGAUAGUACACGUUUGGUUUACUUUAUUUUGUAAUCAGUUUGUAUACCGCCGUCAUAAGAAUAUCUUUUUGAAGGGUUUAAAUUUUCUGGAGGUAGAAGUAGAGAGGAUGUCAGGUCAAGGUGCAGCUAAUGAUAAAGUAGAGAUGGAUCACAAUAGCAGUAGUUAUUAUGGAUAUAAUUUAAAUAAAUAAUUUUUGAAGGUGGAUUUGAUUGUAAAUUUGUUUUAGAUGAUGAAUUGGUUUUGGCUCUAAAAUGUGUACACAUCGCCCGUCACUCUCGUUAAAUAUGAG
rnacentral:rRNA from 1 species